UUCCGGGGACCGACAUGAAAGGACUCCAACUCACAGAGUGCAUGAUGUAAUCGCCGCGGCCGCUCCACGUUUUCGACAUUGUUGUCAUGUGCGAUUCUUUGACCCUUUUCUCAUUGAAGUGACAGUUGAGGGACUUUGUGGUGCAGUGUAGUGUCCCCUGUUUUAAGUCCCACCUGCUCCAGAGUAUUGGAGUUUAUCCGUGUAAAUAAUCAGUCAUUUGGGGCAGCAGCAGCAUCCAUAACACCUCUCCACUGAACAGACCAGACCUCUGCAUCAUCUCCUUCAUAAGCUCUGAUGAAGAAGCCACAGAUUCCACAGAGGAAGCAGCAGCAAGGCUGCCUCCUGCACCCUCCACCAGCUCAGGUGCUGAUGCCUUGGUCUGGAUUUUUCCUGAGCCAACAUAAGUUGGAAUCCUUUUAAGAUGACCGGCUGUAUCAAUUCUGGGUUCCUGACCCCAUUCUACAAAUUUCUAAUUUUCAGAAGUGGCUUUCAAGGCUGUCAUCUGGUUCAGAUCACAAAAUCUUGGCUGAGAGCCCUGACAUCUAUUGCUCUGUUUGAGCACCUGAUCCUCUGCUUGAUUGGUAUCUUUGGCCACCUGAUUCAGCUUUCAAUUUCACAAUAUUUAUUUACACAAAAUUAAGAGGUUUGAAAUGGUUGCAGUUUCAGCUUACUUUAAAAAGGUCUGGAUGUUUGAUACUUUUGCUGGGUUGUAGUGAAUAGGAGAUAUUCAAUGUAUUAGAAAGUUAUUAAUGACUUACAUUUUAAAAAAAAAAUGUUUUAACAGACCCUGCUGCCAUGACAGCAUUCAUUGCUUCUAUACAGCAUGUGAUGGGGGAAUGAGCAUGGAGGUGACAUGGCCUUGCUGAGAAAUAUCAGAGACUAUAGUGAUUUGGUAGGAAGUGGGAUUGUGCAAGGCUGAGGUGAUGUGAGAGCUUGAGGGCCUUUCUGUUUUUAUUGUAAUUCAAUCGAAGUGCCAUAUAUCUGAGGUGGGCCUACUAAACAGGCCCCCUCUGGUCUCGGGAGAAAGUGAGGACUACAG